UACGUAGGGAGCAAGCGUUGUCCGGAAUCAUUGGGCGUAAAGCGUGCGCAGGCGGUGAUGUAAGACAGUUGUGAAAUCCCCGGGCUCAACCUGGGAACUGCAUCUGUGACUGCAUCGCUGGAGUGCGGCAGAGGGGGAUGGAAUUCCGCGUGUAGCAGUGAAAUGCGUAGAUAUGCGGAGGAACACCGAUGGCGAAGGCAAUCCCCUGGGCCUGCACUGACGCUCAUGCACGAAAGCGUGGGGAGCAAACAGG
rnacentral:rRNA from 1 species